rnacentral:rRNA from 1 species
CGGGGGGAGCAAGCGUUGUUCGGAUUCAUUGGGCGUAAAGGGCUCGUAGGUGGCUUUGUAAGUCGGAGGUGAAAUCCCACGGCUCAACCGUGGACACGCCUUCGAAACUGUGAAGCUUGAGGCUGGGAGAGGAAAUCGGAAUUCCUGGUGUAGCGGUGAAAUGCGUAGAUAUCAGGAGGAACACCGGUGGCGAAGGCGGAUUUCUGGACCAGUUCUGACACUGAUGAGCGAAAGCCAGGGGAGCAAACAGGAUUAGAUACCCUGGUAGUCCUGGCUGUAAACGAUGGGCACUAGGUGUGGGAGGAUCGACCCCUUCCGUGCCGCAGUUAACGCAUUAAGUGCCCCGCCUGGGGAGUACGACCGCAAGGUUG